rnacentral:rRNA from 1 species
ACUCCUACGGGAGGCAGCAGUGGGGAAUAUUGCACAAUGGGCGCAAGCCUGAUGCAGCCAUGCCGCGUGUGUGAAGAAGGCCUUCGGGUUGUAAAGCACUUUCAGCGAGGAGGAAGGUGGUGAGCUUAAAUACGCUCANCAAUUUGACGUUUACUCGCAGAAGAAGCACCGGCUAACUCCGUGCCAGCAGCCGCGGUAAUACGGAGGGUGCAAGCGUUAAUCGGAAUUACUGGGCGUAAAGCGCACGCAGGCGGUUUGUUAAGUCAGAUGUGAAAUCCCGCC